rnacentral:lncRNA from 1 species
ACACAUACAUUAUAUUAAUACUCCACUAAUAAUAGAUAAUUGAUAUACAGUCACACACAUUUUAUAUAAGUUGAGCAGAAAACAGAAUAAAGAGGGCGGGGAAAAAAGCUGAAAAGCGGCAAUACACGACCCCACCCCCCUUCACGUUGUCUUCUCCAAAUGACCCAUUCCCUACUGCCUUCUCCAUCAAGACCAAACCAAUAGACCCAUGCUUCUUCAUUUUCGAUUCCAACUUCAAUAGAGAACAACCAAUUCAAACAGCCGUGAAAAUUCACACCCUAAGAGCUUCAUCUUGAACAAAAGAAAAGGCAAAACCAGCAGCGAAAUAGGUCAAAAAUAGCUUCAAAAUCAGUCCAAAGUCAUCUCCGAAAUAAUCGUCAAAGUGAGGAGAUAUUCGAGUUCGUCGAUUCAAGGUUCCAGACAAAUUUUCAGUAGCAUUCCUUAUUUUUCCUCGAUGUUCCGGAGAAACAGUUUGUAUUUGCCGAAGAUUUUCUUAAAUUAUACCAAAUAAACUUCACAGAAGGUCCGUUUCUUUAUCUGUAAUUUUAUUUUUGUUCUUAUAAUGCUUGUCGUGUUGUGCGUUUGUUCUAUGUCACCACAUUUUGCUUUUUUUUUAUCCUGAUUGAUUAGUCAAUUUUCUUGAAAUAAUUUGUUUGCCUUGUUUUGGUCUGUGACAGUGAUUUGGAGGAAUUAGCUUCCAUUUUUAUUUGGCUUUGGUUGGUGAAAUAACGUGCUUGGAAGAUAGAUAUGAAAGUAUAAAGAGUUUUGGUCCUUUACUGAUUUAAAGUUUGGGAAAGAAAAUUAAUUCAAGCCUAAGAUUGUUACAAGUGCACUAUAUAAAAUGUGUGUGAUUGUAUAUCAAUUAUCUAUUAUUAGUGGAGUAUUAAUAUAAUGUAUGUGUGAUUGUAUAUCAAUUAUCUAUUUUUAGUGGAGUAUUAAUUAAAGAACCAAAAAAAGUAAAAAACAAUAAGUGCAUGUAAGGUGAGAGACGUGAGAAAUUUUCAAGAAGAUAGGAAGGAAUCUUCUUGUUAUGCUAGGUGGAAACCAUUCUUGUCCCUUUCCUUCCUUCUUUGAUUUUCCUUUUUUCUCUUUCACGUUUUGUUGCUUUCUGUUUUUUUUUCUUCUUCUUCUUCUUCUUCUUCUUCUUUUAUUUUUCUAAAACUAAAUUCUAAAAAUUCUUAAAUUAUUAUAUAGAAUUAAAUUAAGUUAUCAAAGCGCAAAUUAAUUCCCAAUAACAAUUAACACACAAUUAAGUAAUAAUUAAGCAUGAAAUUGUACAAUUGGACAUUAAAUGCUAAAAAUGCAAAAGAUGCCUAUUUUUGUGAUUUUUAUUUUUUGUAAAACAAACUUAAUUACUAAAAAUUGUAGGAUUAAAUCCUAAAUGCAAGUGCGACAUAUUUUUGUAUUUUGUUUUAUUAAUUUAACAAAAAAAAACAUGCGCAGACAAAAUGCAAAUAAUUAUCCAAAAAAAUACCACAAAAAUUCAAAAUAUUGCACACCAAGAAAAAUCAUUUUAUUUUGAAUUUUUUGGGAGUAAUUCUUUUAUAGGGCAAAAAUCACGUGCUUACACUAACAAUAGAUUAUUGGAAUACAACUAGAAAGGGAUAAGGAAUUGUUACCCAAUGAUCUUCUCUUCAAAAACCCCACAAAAUCACCCUACCCCGAGCUCCAAAUUUGAUUUUCCAAGUUAUGAACUCAAACCCUCGAAAUUUUAUAUUUCUACCCAGCGAUUUCCGCAUUUGCGGUCAUGGGAGCGCACCUGCGGUCCCGUACCUAUGGAAAAGGCAUCGCAGCUGCGAAGUUCACUUAAUGGGCUGGGUCCGCAUCUGUGGUCACUUGGUCGCAUCUAUGGUUCCGCAUUUGCGGUCACCCAGCCGCACCUGCAGUUCCUGGAGCCUAGGCCUAUUCCCGCUUUUGCGAUCACCAAGCCGCUUAUGCGGCGCCGCACCUGCGCUCCAACACACGCAGAUGCAGUUAUGAUAGGUACAACAACCCCAGAUUUAUGCCUAAGUCCAAAUUCCAAUCCGUUAAGCAUCCGAAACUCACCCAAGGCCCACGGGACCUCAACCAAACAUACCAACCAGUCCUAAAGCAUCAUACAACCUUAGUCCAACCCUGAAAUCACAUUGAACAAUGCUAAAAUCACGAAUCACUCUCCAAUCCAAACCUAAAGAACUUGAAACUUCAAGAAACCUACAACCGAUGCCAAAACCAACCAAACCUAGUCCGAUUGACCCCAAAUUUUGCACACAAGUCACAUUCAACAUUACGGAGCUGUUCCAACGGUUGGAAUCGAAUUCCGACCUCGAUAUCAAAAUCUCACUAUCGAUCGGAAACUUCAAAAUUUCAAAUUUUGGUAUUUCAAGCCUAAAUAAGCUACGGGCCUCCAAAACACAAUCCGAACACACCCCUAGGCCCAAAAUCACCCAACGGAGCUAUUGGAAUCGACAGAAUUCCAUUCCGAGGCCGUCUUCACACCACUCUGACUAUGGUCCCAAUUAUAAAGCUUAAACUCUUAUUUAGGGACUAAGUGUCCCAAAACACUCCGAAACUCAAAACGAAUCCUCCCAAUAGCAGAAACAAACACGAGGAAAACGAUUAAUAGGGGAUCGGGGUGUAAAUUCUUAAAAUAACCGACCGUGUCGUUACAUUCUCCCCCUCUUAAAAUAUUCGUUCGUCCUCGAACGAGCAUAGAGACAUACCUGAAGUAGUGAAAAGAUGAGGGUAAUGGCUGCACAUAUCCUGCUCGGUCUCCCAGGUCGCCUCCUCGAUCGGCUGACCCCGCCACUGAACCUUCACUGAUGCAAUGUUCUUUGACCUCAGCUCUCAAACCUGCUUGUCCAAUAUCGCCACUGGCUCCUCAACAUAAGAUAGAUCCUUGUCCAACUGGACUGAACUAAAAUCUAACACAUAUGACGGAUCAUCAUGAUACAUCCGAAGCAUUAAAACAUGAAAUACAGGAUGAACUCCUACCAAGUUGGGAGGUAAGGCAAGCUCAUAAGCAACCUCCCCAACAUGUUGCAAUAUCUCAAAAAGGACCAAUAAACCUCGGACUCAAUUACCCCUUCUUCCCGAAUCUCAUAAUGCCCUUCAUAGGCAAAACAUGAAGCAAGACCUGCUCUCCAACCAUAUAGGAAAUAUCACGAACCUUCCGCUUCGCGUAACUCUUCUGUCUAGACUGGGCUAUGCGAAGUCUAUCCUGAAUCACCUUAACCUUCUCCAAGGCGUCCUAAACCAAGUCUGUGCCCAAUAAUCUAGUAUUAUCGGGCUCAAACCAACCCACCGGGGAUCUACACUGCCUACCAUACAAAGCCUCAUACGGUGCCAUUUGAAUGCUGGAUUGAAAACUGUUGUUGUAGGCAAACUCUACCAGUGGCAAGAACUGAUCCUAAGAACCUCCAAACUCUAUCACACACGCAGGGACCAUAUCCUCAAGAAUCUUAAUAGUGUGCUCGGACUAUCCGUCCAUCUAGGGGUGAAAUGUUGUGCUCAACUCCACCCGAGUACCCAAUUCAUGUUGUACGACCCUCUAGAAACGUGAUGUGAACUGAGUACCUCUGUAAAUAAUGGAAACUAGAAUACCAUGCAGACAAACAAUCUCCCGGAUAUAAAUCUCCACCAACCACUCUGAAGGAUAGGUAGUACACACAGGAAUGAAAUGUGCGGGCUUGGUCAGCCAAUCCACGAUCACCCAAAUAGCAUAAAACUUUGUCAAAGUCUGUGGGAGUCCAACUAUGAAGUCCAUAGUGAUCCGCUCCCACUUCGGAAUCUUUAUCUGCUAAAGCAAACCACCUGGUCUUUGGUGCUCAUACUUCAUCUGCUGACAAUUGAGGCACCGAGCUACAAACCCAACUAUAUCUUUCUUCAUCUGCCUCCACCAAUAGUGUUGUCUCAAAUCCUUGUAUAACUUUAUGGCACCUAGAUGGAUGGAAUACCGCGAACUAUAGGCCUCCUCUAAAAUCAACUCCCGAAGCCCAUCAACAUUGGGUACACAUAUCCCACCCUGCAUCCUCAAUACCCUGUCAUUACCAAUAGUCACAUCUCUGGCAUCAUCAUGGAGAACCUUGUCCUUGAGGACGAGCAAAUUAGGGUUAUAAUACUGAUGCUCUCUGAUACGAUCAAAUAAGGAAGACCGAGAAAUUACACAAGCUAGAACCCGACUAGGCUCCAAAAGAUCCAAUCUCAAAAAUUGGCUGGCUAAGUCCUGAACAUCUAUCGCCAUAGGCCUCUCCGCUGCUGGUAAAUAAGCCAAACUCUAACCACCUCCUCUGGCGCAAAUUAAGGUGCUUGAACAGAUGCUGCAAACUCCAGUGAUCAGUAUAGAUCUCACAAGGAACACCGUACGAUAAUGACGCUAGAUCUUCAAGGCAUGAACAAUAGCAGCUAACUCAAGAUCAUGGACAUGAUAAUUCUUCUCAUGUACUUUUAACUGUUUGGACGCAUAGGCAAUUACCCUACCAUCCUGCAUUAAUAAUGCUCCAAUGCCAAUCCUCGAGGCAUCACAAUAGACAAUAUAAGACCCCGAAUCUGUAGGCAAUAUCAAAACUGGGGCUGUAGUCAAAGCUGUCUUGAGCUUCUGGAAGCUCGCCUCACACUCUUUCGUCCACUAGAAUGGAGCACCCUUCAGGGUCAGCCUGGUCAUAGGUGCUGCAAUAGAUGAAAACCCCUCAAUAAAUCGACGGUAAUAACCCGUCAAGCCAAGAAACUGCGAAUCUCUAUAGCUGAGGAUGGUCUGGGCCAACUCUACACUGCUUUCACUUUCUUCAGAUCCAUCUUUAUCCCCUCACUCGAUACCACGUGACCUAAGAAUGCCACGGAAUCCAACCAAAACUCACAUUUCGAGAACUUUGCAUAUAAUUCUUUUCUCUCAAGGUCUAAAGCACUGUCCUCAGGUGCUGCUCAUGAUCUUCCCAACUCUGAGAGUAUACCAGAAUAUCAUCAAUAAAGAUAAUAACGAACGAGUCAAGAUAUGGCCAGAACACACUAUGCAUCAAAAGCAUGAAAACACUAUUGCACCCUUAGCUGGUUAAACAAAUCAUCCAUACGAGGCAAAUAAUACCGGUUCUUCAUAAUAACUUUGUUCAACUGGCGAUAAUCAAUGUACAUACGCAUAGAACCAUCCUUUUUCUUCACAAAUAAGAUAAUAGCACCAAAGUGAUACACUGGGCCGAAUAAAACCCUUAUCAAGCAAUUCCUAUAACUGAUCCUUCAACUACUUCAACUCAGGAGGGUCCAUACGAUACAGAGGAAUAGAAAUGGGUUAAGUGUCCGACAACAAAUGAAUGCCGAAAUCAAUAUAUCUAUCGGCCAGCAUACCCGGAAGAUCAGCUAGAAACACAUUAGGGAAAUCCCGUACUACUAGGAAUGAAUCAACUGUAGGGGUAUCAAAACUGACAUCUCUCACAUUGGCUAGAUACGCGUCACACCCCUUCUCAACCAUUCGCUGAGCUUUAAGGAAAGAGAUAACUAUACUGUGGGUGUGAUCUAAAGUACCUCUCCACUCUACUCGUAGUAUACCUAGCAUAUCUAGCGUCACAGUUUUGGUGUGACAAUCAAGAAUAGCAUAAUGGGGCGACAACCAAUCCAUGCCUAAGAUAACAUCAAAAUCUACCAUCCUAAGCAAUAAUAAAUCCGCUAUGGUCUCAAAACCACUAAGAUCAAUCAAACACGACCGAUAAGCACGGUCCACAACAAGAGAAUCUCCCACGGGAGUACAAACAUAAAUAGGAAAACUCAAAGAAUCCCGAGAUAUGCCCAAAUGUAGGGCAAAAUAAGAGGUUACAUAAGAAUAAGUGGAGCCCCGAUCAAAUAAAAUCAAUGCAUCUCUAUGACUAACUAGGACAAUACCUGAGAUGAUAGAAUCAGAGGUGACAGUUUCUGUAAGGGCGGGAAGAGAAUAGUAUCUGGCCUGGUCUCCCCCUCUAGGGUGACCUCUACCUCCCCGACCUCCACCCCUAGCUAGCUGAGCAAGUGGGGUAGCAACUGGUGCUGUAAUCAUAGCCUGGGAACUAUGCGGGGCACGUUGUGGCUGAGAAGUCUAUGGAGGUGCACCCUUCCUAAGUCUAGGGUAAUCCUUUACCAUAUGGCGUGUGUCACCACACUCAAAACAAGCUCUGGGAGAACGUGGCGGUUAUGACUGGCUCGGGCCAGGUCUGCUGGACUGACCACUGAAAGCACCCCGUGCAGGAGGCGCACUAGAUACUGGAGGUGCAUAAUAAGGCUCCUGAGGUCUAGGAGGAGCUGGAAUACCACUGGUUGCUAGAAGAGCUGAAUGAAUGGGGCGACUCAUAUAACCCCUACCAUAACAAACUGCAGCUAGAGCACGGGCACCAAAAUAAUGGCCCAACUCUCGAGACCUCUUGGCCUCCCUCUCCUCUCUAUCCCGAGCAUGCAUACCCUCUACUCUCCUAGCGAUGCUCACCACCUGCUAAUAAGAGAUAUCCAUCUCCAUCUACCGAGACAUACUAAACCUGAUGCUGGGAGUGAGCCCCUCAAUAAACCAGCAAACUCUCUCACGAACUAUAGAAACCAAGGUUGGUGCAUACCUAGCCAAGUUAGUAAAACGGACAGCAUACUCCGAAACAAUAAUAGUGCCCUGGCGCAAAUGCUCAAACUCUAUACGCUAUGCAUCCCUGAGGUUCUGAGGGACAAACUCUCUCAAGAAUAUAUCUGAAAACUGAGUCCAAGUAAGGGAAGCUGCCUCAGCUAGACUGUCCAACUCAAAAGCACGCCACCACUGAUAGGCUGCUCCUCGAAGCUGGAAGGCAGUGAAAGAAACCCCACUCGAUCUUGAUAUACCCAUAGUGCGGAGGAUACGGUAGCACUACUCUGGAAAUCCCAGAGCAUCAUAUGAUGCUAGACCACUGAAUACAUGAGGCUUGUACUUCUUGAACCUCUCAAGCCUAUGCUGCUCAUCCUCGGAAGCCACUGCCCUAUCCUCAGGCUGAACUGGGGCUACAGGUGGUACCGGUAUAACCUCUGGGAUCUGAUCAAUCUGGACCCUCUGCUUAGGAGUGCGGGCGGCGGGAGUCUGUGCUCCUCCCCCAACCUGGGAUAUGGCUGCAACAGGAGGAAUCAACCCUACCUAAGCUAGAGUAGUGUACAUGCUCGUGAACCGUUCAAGGGUCUCUUGAAAAACUGUAGUAGUAGUAGCAGUAGGUAUAUGAGGUGACUGGACUAUGGCUGGAGCUACUAGUGGCACCUUGGUGGUAGUUCGUGCGAGUGCUCUGGCUGCACCACGUGCGCGUCCUCGGCCUCUACCCCAACCCCGACCUCUAAUGGCUCUAGUAGGGGGCGCGGGUGCCUGGUCAUCUCCGGUAGCACGUGUCCUCACCAUCUAUGAGAGAAUAAAAGACAAAAGUUUAGAAUUUCGAUAUCAAAAAUCUCGCACGACAAGGAAAUCAAAUGAAGUGGAAUUUUCCUAACAGUUGCAUAGCCUCUUAUAGAUAAGUACAAACGUCUCUAUACCGAUCUGCGAGACUAUAAUAAACCAACUUGUGAUUCAUGACUCCUAUAAACCUACAGCUCUGAUACCAACUUGUCACGACCCAAGUUCGCCCUCCGUGAACUGUCGUGAUGGCACCUAGUGUCUACGACUAGGUAAGCCUAACAAAUUACGGAAAAAGGAAAAUGAAAGAUGAAACUAGCAAAAACUAUAGAAUAAACAUAAUAAAAACGUUUAAGAUGCUGGUCGGCAUAUACAAAUUCACACUCCUAAAUUGAAUCAACUCCCAAAACCCGGAAUCUUAUGAAAUCACAAGCUAUGGAUACUACAUAGUGUUCUAACUCUAGAAUGUCUAAUCAAAGGAAAAAUACAAAAGGGCUAUAGCUAAAAGAGAGAAUAGAGAGGGACUCCUCGGUCUGUGGACGCGACAGAUAUACCUCGAAGUCUCUGAAGGUCGCCUCGCCUCACUGAUAGUAUGGCUGAGCCGAAGAACUUGGAUCUGCACACGAAAAACAUGUGCAAGAAAAGGCAUACGUAUACCACAGCGGUACCCAGUAAGUGCCAAGCUUAACAAUAUGCAGGGGAAACUCCCGGAAUACCAAUCCGUAGUCCCAAAGUAAAUAUCCAGUACAGGGGAAUCUACCGGGUGCUGUCCUGUAGUCCGAAAUAUAAAUGUGCAGGGGGGAUCUACUUGAAUACCAAUCCGUAGUCCCAAAAUAAACAUGCAGGGGGAUCUAUCGGAAUACCGAUUCGUAGUCCCAAAGUAAACAUGCAGGGGGAUCUAUCGGAAUACCAAUUCGUAGUCCCAAAGUAAACAUGCAGGGGGAUCUACCGAAAUACCGAUCCGAAGUCCCAAAGUAAGCACACAACAGUCUCGAGAAAGAAUCUACAGUUCUAUUCAAUUCAUACCAAGAAAGAAAUAGAGAUUUCUAUUCUAAACAUGCUGCACAGAAUUCAAAUAGACAGUUUAAGCAGAUUGUACAGUUAAGUCACUUAAGCAUACUUUUCUAAGCUAAAUAAUAUGCUUUAAAUACAGUAGUGUUCAACAAAAAGGAAACACAUGUAUUUACUUAAUAAAAAUGGGGGUUUUCAAUAAUUAACAUGUGUACGCAUUCGUCACCUCACGUACACGGCACUCAUAUAACAACAGAACCAAAAUCCUAAAGGGAGUUCCCCCACACAAGGUUAGGCAAGCCACUUACCUUGAACCAGCUUAAAAUCAAUCCGAAACCACGCUCUUGCCACGAGUAUCCAACUCCGAGUGGCCCAAAUCUAAUCAAAUAAAUACCAUAACGUAAAUACAACUACAAACAACUAAUUUAGCUAAAGAAAUCAAAGCUAAGAUAAGAAAAUAGGAAAAUGUCCAAAAAUCCUCUCUGGGCCCACAUCUCAAAAUUGGGUAAAAGUUAUCAAUUUAGAACACCCAUUCACUUAUGAGAAAAAUCGUCCAAAAAUUAUCAGAAUCCUACACCAAAAUCUCCCUCAAAACUCAGAUUUUUAGGUUGGGGAACCUUUCCCCAUUUCUCCCAAUUUUCACCCCAAAUGCGAAAUUAAAUGAUAAUUCUUACAAUAGAUUAAUAGAAUACAAUUAGAAAUGGAUAAGGAAUUGUUACCCAAUGAUCUUCUCUUCAAAAACCCCACAGAAUCACCCUACCCCGAUCUCCAAAGUUGAUUUUCCAAGUUAUGAACUCAAACCCUCGAAAUUUCAUAUUUCUGCCCAACAAUUUCUGCAUCUGCGGUCCCGCACUUACGGAAAAGGCAUCGCAGGUGCGAAGUUCACUUAACGGGCGGGGUCCGCAUCUCCGGUCACUUGGACGCAUCUGCGGUUCUAAUUUGCGGUCAUCCAGUAUCAUCUGUGGUUCUUGGAGCCUUGGUCUAUUCUCGCUUCUACGAUCACCAAGCCGCUUCUGCGGUGCCACACCUGCGGUCCAACACACGUAGGUGUGGUUAUGACAGGUAUAGCAACCCCAGAUUUUUGCCUAAGUCCAAAUUCCAAUUCGUUAAGCAUCCAAAACUCACCCGAGGACCCUGGUACCUCAACAAAACAUACCAACCAAUCCUAAAACAUCAUACGAACUUAGUCCAACCCUCAAAUCACAUCGAACAACGCUAAAACCACGAAUCACCCUCCAAUCCAAACCUUAAGAACUUGAAACUUCAAGAAACCUACAACCGAUGCCGAAACCAACCAAACCUAGUUCGAUUGACCCCAAAUUUUGCACAAAAGUCACAUUUAACACUACGAUGUUGUUCCAACUUUAGGAAUUAGAUUCUGACCCCGAUAUCAAAAUCUCACCAUCGAUCCGGAAACUUUAAAAUUUCAACUUUCGGCAUUUCAAGACUAAAUAAGCUACGGACCUCUAAAACGCAAUCCGAACACGCCCUAAGCGUGAAAUCACCCAACAGAGCUAACUGAAUAUAUCAAAUUCCAUUUUGAGGCCGUCUUUACACCGCUCCGACUACGGUCCCAAUUUUAAAUCUAAAGCUCUCAUUUAGGGAUAAGUGUGCCAAAACACUCUGAAACUCAAGACGAGUCAUCCCGUCAACUCACAAUAGCAGAAACAAAUACGAGGAAAGCAGUUAAUAGGGGAUCAGGGCAUAAAUUCUUAAAACGACCGGCGGGGUCGUUACAUAUAUGGUAUUUCUUAUUCAAUUGAUAUUGAUACUUGAUAUUUUUUGAGCUGUUGAGUUGGGAUACGAGAUUUAGAAGUUUAUAUCAUUAAAAGAAAUUUUGAAAUAAUAUCUUGGUUACCGUUUUAUCCCAUUAUUGUUGUUGUGCUUCAUAUCCGCUUACGAUUUAUCAUAUUGCUUUAUUGGACCUAUAGUAAGUGUCGAUAUCGACCCCUCUUCAUCACUUAUCCAGGAUUAAGGUAGAUACUUACUUGGUACGUGUUGAUUUACGUACUCAUGCUUCACUCUACACUAAAUGUGAAGGAUCUCACAUGUUCAUUAGGUGGUCAUCUUGGCACAUAGGCUCAACUGCUGAGAAGACCUUAUGGUGAGCUGCAUUUCAGGCUAUGUGUCGCAACCCACAGAGUCUCCAUCAUACUAUUACUUUAACUUGUCUUAUUUACAUUCCAGACAGAUAUUGUAUUAUUAUUGUACUCCUUAGUAAAUGCUCACACUUGUGACACCGGGUAUUGGGAUACUCUAGUGGUUGUUUAUGGUUCGGCUUGAUAUUGUCAUCUCUUAUUUUAUAUCUUACUAAUAUUUUAACUAUUCAUGAUUUCUAAACACAUUUAUGUCUCCG